GUGGCACAACGGAUAACGCGCCUGACUACGGAUCAGGAGAUUCCGCGUUCGAAUCUCGGCUGGCU